AUCUACCUAUCACUUUAACCAGGACGAUCUAGAGCAUAAUAAUUAAUGUAAUGCAAUGCUAUGAGUGGCAAUUCAGCAAAUUUACACUAACCUAAUAACUUUCAGCCCACCAAACUGCUAGUUGAAGAAAAUCAUUGAUUAAAUAACGGGCUUCGACUUUAAUCAGAUUAAAACACAUACAUGAUGUGAAGGAUCAUAUAUUUGCAUGUGCCAGUGUACCUCCAAAUACUUAAUAACAAAAUGUUUUUUAUAUCCUUAAGAAAUUCCGGCAAUUAAUCUUUGGUUAUUACUAAAAACUAAAUAAAUACAAAGCAAUGCAAAUACAUUCAAAUACAUAAAUUAGAGAUAAUAUUCUAAAUUACAGUCGGAUUGUCACUGUGAUGGUCUCUAGCAGACUGCUUUUUUUCAAACAGGAGAGAUUGCUUUCCUUUAGUCUGUCAAACAUUCAUCUGUCUAAUGUUUAUGAUCUGAUCGUACCCUGUUUGUGACCAUUACAGUUCAUCUCAUCCUGAUCAUCUCAUGCAGUGCUGCUGCAGGCCUCAUCCUCUGCAUCAUCCUCACAGUUGUUAUUUGCAAAUGCAGAAAUCAAGACGAACAUGGAUCUAUGGUGUUCAGCAAUAAAGUCUAUGAGAACUUCAGUUUCGCCAUGUUCCGUCAGAACGCGCAGUCCAUUGACAAACCACAGCCAGAAGAGUGUAUUUAUGAGAACUAGCUGCUGCUUCUGCUGCUGCUACUUACAGUACAUAACCUUUGCUUUAAAGCCAGAUCGGCCCAGUUUUUAUGAAGGCAAAAGUGAGUUAUGUGGUUUUGCUAAGAUAUUUGAUGGUGCACUGCGAAUGUGAAGCAAACGGUCACUGCAUUGUUUACAAUCAAUAUUUUUUCAAGCGACUCUUUUCAUUGUGUUUGAGCACUGCAGGUGCACUUGACUAUUAUGUCUGUUAAAUUAAUUCAAUUAAAUUAUGAUAAUGAGCAGGGGCCACAUAUCUGUUUUCUCAGAUGCAAAGGCAUUAUUAAAGUCUCUCUUAGCACUUUUUGUUGUAAUCUUUAUGCUCUGAGCAAAUAUGGGUUGCAAUGAAAAAUGCAAGUCAUUUUAGUUCACAUAAGCUUGAGCAAAGUUAUCUUCUAUGGUUUAUUUAGUGAAAAUGUAUAUAUUCAGGAACAUUGGUCCUUUUAGCACAGGGUGCCUCACAGAUCUGAAAUGAAACUUCUCUAAUUUGUAACAAUGGGAAUUUUAGAUUGUUCUCUUAUUUAUUUUAUUCAAUGUUUGUAAAGUACAGUAUGUAUGAGUCAAUCAUUUGUUAGAAUGUUUAUAUUAAUUUCCCCUGUAACGUAUAAUAAAUAGAAAAAGGGGUCCAGAUGGGAUCCAGAUGA